rnacentral:rRNA from 1 species
UUUGCUUAUCACCGGUUGCAAGCGGGAGAAUCGGCUGGUUACUAUGGAGUCAGCGUGACCAUGGAUGUCUACGCGUUGUCGCUAAGCAGCAAUCAGUACAGUUCGGCUGGUGUCCAAAUCUCUAGUGGAGAAGACGGUGCAGCCGAUCAGAACGUCAUCAAAAUCGGCUCGGAGACUGAUGGGUUCCAAACGCGUUGUGGCAACACCAAAUGUGCGGUAGGUUUCCAGCCUGAGGCUGGCGCGGCCUUAGUUCUUGGCGACAUCAUCGAACCCCUCUCCAACCCCAACGGAACCAAGCAAACCAUCACAAUCAAACUCCUCAAGCGUGAGCCUACGCUGAUCGGUCGUUAUCCCAAGUCGUUGUUCCCUGGUGGCUUGGCAGAUCGGGCGACCCAUAUACAUAUUGGCGGCGUGGUGGCCUCUCGCACUAGAGAUUUGGUUCCAAUGGGCAGUGGCUACCUCCCAACGGACAAAGCCAUGUCCACGUCCAUGGCGGCGUCUUUCAGCAACAUCCAGAUUAUUGAUCAGAACGGGCAAGCUUCACUCUUGUCCCCCAACUUGUCCGCGUAUAUGACUAGCGCAGACACAUACUCCGUCAGUUCCGUGAUCAAUGGCAAGUUCUUCUAUGGCGGACCCUUCCAGUUGACCGCUUGA